rnacentral:rRNA from 1 species
UGCGCAGGCGGGUUAUUAAGUCAGUGGUGAAAGUCUGCGGCUCAACCGUAGAAGUGCCAUUGAUACUGGCAGUCUUGAGUACAGUAGAGGUAGGCGGAAUUUAUGGUGUAGCGGUGAAAUGCAUAGAUACCAUAAAGAACACCUAUAGCGAAGGCAGCUUACUAUACUGUAACUGACGCUGAGGCACGAAAGCGUGGGGAGCGAACAGGAUUAGAUACCCUGGUAGUCC